GCCUGCUGUGGCUCUAAUUUUAACCUGGAGCAUUAAGGAUGCAACAUACUGGGUGUGAUCCCUCUGAACCAGCCCCUGUGCAGUGUCCUGCCCAGUUCCCCUGUCCCAAGGAAUAACCCCUGAGGGAUGGAUUCCAGCUCAGGCCAUGCAGGAUGGGGCAUGAAUUACCUCCUAGGACAGAUGUGAGGUCAGGUUCUACAUCUGUGUGUGGUCCCACCGUGGAGUUGCUGCCUUGUGGGAGCCCAGCCCUGGCCACAGCCAUCAGCCAGAUAAGGCGUUUGCUCCUCUCUCUGCUCCUUACCCACAGAUGGAUCUUGCUUGCAGCUCUUCAGCAAUUCAGCAAGGGCAGGAUGAGUUUCCUACAAACAAUGCAGUGGUAAAACAAUUGUUGGGCCUCUUCUACUUGUUGAAGCUGCAGAACUCGGAUUGCUGCUGAGGAUUGUGUGGGAAGAGGAAAAAUAUUGAUCUGGUGUUUGGAAAUUUCCUGUAAUGACAGCAGAAGAAAAAAUAUGUACAUAUUUUGCUUUUCCUCCAUUCUGGAAAUAGGAUCUGGGCCAGCUCUCUGACUCUGCAGGCCUGCCCUGUCCCCUGGGAAGGGACCUCCUGCUACCCUGGUCACUGGUGACCUUGUAGAAGACAUGGAAAUGCUGACUGUCACAGCACUGGAGGGAGCAGAGAAGGAUGCAGCAGCAUCACGAGCUGAGGUGGAACCAGUAGAAAAAGCAGCAGCAACAAGGGAGGUGGAAAGCCCAGAGGGAGCAGAUCCGGGUGGAAAGGUGGUCACUCCUGAAGGAGCAGCAGCAAUAGUACUAGAAGCAUCAGAGAAUCCAGAGGCAGAAGGUGUCACUGAAGCACUUGCCCGGGCAGCAGAAAGGAUUGCAAACUCAGAAGUAACCAAGGUGUUGCAAUUGGCAAUAGCAGAGCUCAAAGAGAAGAGGAGGAGCACAUGGCUAAAGCCGAGGGACACCACUCAGCAGGAGGAGCAGGAUGACUGGGUGAAAGAGGGGGAGAGGUGAAAUGAAACGGAGGAGGGGGUGGUGUUCUGGGUCAUACCUAAUGGGGGUCUGGUACCCUGACAUUGUGACAACUCCUGGAAUGCAAUAGGGCUG